rnacentral:miRNA from 1 species
CCGGACGAACUUCCCAGCUCGG